AAACCCUAAACCAUAAACCCUAAACCCUAAACUCUAAACCCUAAACCCUAAACUCUAAACCCUAAACCCUAAACCCUAAAAUCUAAACCCUAAACCCUAAAAUCUAAACCCUAAACUCUAAACCCUAAACCCUAAACCCCACCCUUUAACUCUAAACCCUAAGUUUGUGACUUUUGAUAAAACAUUAAGUGUUAUUUUUGUGACUUUUGACUUUGAGUGCUAGUUUGGGAACAUAAACUUGAUUUAGUGCUAUUUUUGUC
rnacentral:lncRNA from 1 species